rnacentral:rRNA from 1 species
GACGGGGGAUGCAAGCGUUAUCCGGAAUGAUUGGGCGUAAAGGGUCCGCAGGUGGCCCGGUCAGUCCGCUGUCAAAGCCUGGGGCUCAACCCUGGAGAGGCGGCGGAGACCACCGGGCUUGAGUCCGGUAGGGGCAGAGGGAAUUCCGGGGUGGAGUGGGUGAAAUGCGUAGAGAUCCGGAGGAACACCAAAGGCGAAGGCAGUGUCCUGGGGAGUACCUGACGCUCAGGUGCGAAAGCCAGGGGAGCGAACGGG